rnacentral:lncRNA from 1 species
AAUAAAUAAAAAUGUGAAAAUAAAUCCUAUCUAACCUACACUAAUCCUAACUAUGCUCCCGUGCUUUACUCGAUGCCUUGGGCCUUCAUAACGAAAGUCUUCCUCCAACAUAGUACGUCGGGGUAUUCCCCGAUGAAUAAAUACAAUGUGUCUUGGGAAAUUCCCUGGCUAAAUGAAUACAUUUGAAUUAAACGCGAUAAACUAGAAAGAAAUAUUCACACGCACAUUUCAUCAUUCAACCAAAACAAGUUCUAAAAUUUACCUACCUGAACCUAUAUUGCCUAUCCGUUUCAACAUAUCAUAAAUCUAUUACGUUUUGGCAAUAUUCAUGCUCAUUCCGAAAAUGACAAAGAACCAAGAAUCUAAAUUCACUAUUUCAUCAAAUUUUCAAUUCUCACUCCCCAAAUUCCCUUUUAAUACCAAAUUUUCACAAUUCGCGAUCCCACUUCAACAAUCCUCAAUCACUUUAUUCAAAAUUAACAACAAAUCAACAUCACUCAAUAUUCCAUCAUCAAAUGCAUAAACAACAAUGAAAUCAAACGAUGAUAAUCAACCAACACGAAAUCAUAGACGAUUCAACCAAUUGAAAUAAAGGAAAGAGAAUGGGUAAAGAAAUGGACCUCAAUAGAACGUUCUUGUAGAUAAUAAAAAAGUCCAAAAAUCUAAAUACUCGAGCAAGGAACCCUAACAAUGAGCAAACCAAACCCAAAUAUAGAAAUCCAACUCAGACAGAUUCGAGAACCGAUGGAGAAUCUCGAGAUGAAUGAUUCCAUCCCAGUAUAAAAAAACAACACCAAUGACAAAAUCUAGUCCUGAUUUUUUGGUAGAAAAACUAAGAACCCCAACAAACCGAACUCCGGUGAGGUAACAAUAGCAAAAAUCGAUAGGAAUAGAUCAGAUUCUGGAGAAUUUUGGGUGGCUUGAUGUUUUUCUGGAGACUCUUUAACGUUUUCGGCUAGUCAUGGUUUGAAAUUGAAGGAAACGAUGAAAAUGCGUGUUUUUCUUUACGAAGAAACGACCCCAAAAGAAAUGGAUUUCAAAGGGGAGAAAAAAAAUGACGAAGAUGGCAGUUUUUUUUUUAGUUGUUUCUGUACCCGUGGAGAAGAAAGAAAAAAAUCAAAAAAUAUGGAGUCCUCCCAUAUCUGUGUGUGUAAGUGUUCCUAUGGAGAAGAAAGCCCAAGAGAAAAAAAUCCUUUUUUUUAGUGUAUUUGUUCCCGUAUGCCUUUUUAGUGAAUGGGGAAGAAGACCCCUCCUUUUUGUCUUUGUUUGUAUGUAUAUAUUAUUAAUACCCUCUAGAAAAAUCCUGGUUGUCCCUAUGUGGAAAAUAUAUUGUUGAGGGAUUUUUGGGUGGUCCCCCUAGAUGUCCUCUCUUGUGUCUAUAUGUAGAUUAUAAACAAAAUGGUCCCCUCUUUUUUUAUCCUUGUCAUCU